AUCGCUGAGAAGCUGAUCAAACUUGNUCAUUUAGAGGAAGUAAAAGUNGUAACAAGGUUUCCGUAGGUGAACCUGCGGAAGGAUCAUUAUCGAAAUUAUUGGUGAGGGUUGUAGCUGGCCUUUCGAGGCAUGUGCACGCUCGAGCCCUUAAUCCACUUUACACCUGUGCACUUAAUGUAGGUCGCCCUUAAAAAAGGUGACCUAUGUCUUAUCAUCAACCCAUCGUAUGUCUCAUAGAAUGUAAUCGAUAUCCUCGCCCUAAAAAAGCGUUGAUAAACUUAUACAACUUUCAACAACGGAUCUCUUGGCUCUCGCAUCGAUGAAGAACGCAGCGAAAUGCGAUAAGUAAUGUGAAUUGCAGAUUUUCAGUGAAUCAUCGAAUCUUUGAACGCACCUUGCGCUCCUUGGUAUUCCGAGGAGCAUGCCUGUUUGAGUGUCAUUAAAUUCUCAACUCCAAGGGUUUCACGACCUUUCGGAGAUUGGACUUGGAGGUGCUGGCCGCAUAUUGGUCGGCUCCUCUCAAAUGCAUCAGCGGAAUUCAACCUUUGGCUUCCGGAUGUCAGUGUGAUAAUCAUGUUGCGCUGUCGUUUGAUCCCUCAGAGUCCGCUUAUAAUGGUCUUCGGACAAAAUCAUCAUCAAAUUUGACCUCAAAUCAGGUAGGACUACCCGCUGAACUUAAGCAUAUCAAUAAGCGGAGGAAAAGAAACUAAC
rnacentral:rRNA from 1 species